AGUGAACGCUGGCGGUAGGCCUAACACAUGCAAGUCGAACGGCAGCACAGUAAGAGCUUGCUCUUACGGGUGGCGAGUGGCGGACGGGUGAGGAAUACAUCGGAAUCUACUUUUUCGUGGGGGAUAACGUAGGGAAACUUACGCUAAUACCGCAUACGACCUACGGGUGAAAGCAGGGGAUCUUCGGACCUUGCGCGAUUGAAUGAGCCGAUGUCGGAUUGGCUAGUUGGCGGGGUAAAGGCCCACCAAGGCGACGAUCCGUAGCUGGUCUGAGAGGAUGAUCAGCCACACUGGGACUGAGACACGGUCCAGACUCCUACGGGAGGCAGCAGUGGGGAAUAUUGGACAAUGGGCGCGAGCCUGAUCCAGCCAUACCGCGUGGGUGAAGAAGGCCUUCGGGUUGUAAAGCCCUUUUGUUGGGAAAGAAAAGCAGCAGGUUAAUACCCCGCUGUUCUGACGGUACCCAAAGAAUAAGCACCGGCUAACUUCGUG
rnacentral:rRNA from 1 species